AUCCUAAAAUAUGUUUUCGUGUAAAAAAAUUUGGAAGUUUUGCAUUACAAACAAAUAUAAAUUAUUAAACAUUUAUAGUAGAGGCGAGUACGAGUAUUACUGUUACUCAUUAUAUGUCAUAGAAAUAUGAAAAUUUAGCCGAAAGUAAUUUGUUUACUUUGACGAGACAAGUGCGAUCGAUUAAUCGUAUAUAAUAUUAUUAAAAAUCGAUAACUGUUAAAUAAAGGGAACGCAACGUCGAACAUCGAGUAUACGAUGGAUAAAUAUUUUUACGCGAGCAUCUUCGAAUUUCUUAAAAUUUCUCUUAACUCAAUGAAAAUCAAUCUAUCGAUCACCGAUAAUUCUUGAUAAAUGUUAGAAAAUAGAAGAUAAAAAGUUAAUCAAAGUAUAGAAUGACAGAUGAUAACGUAAACUUUUCGUUCAAUUGGAAAGAUAAAAAUAACUGCAUUAGGAUGUAUAAUAAAAAUCAUGACAAAGUAUACAAUAACGCGACAACAUUAAAUCUGAAAUAUUCUAGUGAUUUCAGUCAAAGUGAUCCUACCGAAAAUCCAUCAAUCGUGGAUUUAGGUGGACAAUUUCAUGAAAAAUUAAAAAGCUCAUCUUCCGGGUCAGAGUUUCGUUUCAUUAAUCCGGCUAUUUACGUUGAAUCUUUAAAUACCGAAGACAACGAGAAAGAAACUACCACAAAUAUCAGAAUAGGCAUUAAUCAUACAAACAACAAUACCAAAAUAUUAAAUAAUGGUGAUGCAAACGAUUGCAGAUUCGUUGAAUUUGAUAGCGGUGAUGGAAUUAAAAAAACAACCGAUAUGUUAUCUGAUUUGUCCUUGAAAAAAGCAAUAGUCUCUUCGAGGGGUGAUCUUGCUACCGAUGACAUUUCCUCACCGGAAACUUAUCGGUGUUACUUUUCUACGUCAAGCACAGCCUCAUCCGUUGGCGCAUGUUCUGCUCGUCAUUCCGAAUCUAUUGUUAAUGUAAAACCAGUUUCUCAUCGGGUUCAAAGACGAUGUAAAAUUGUAAAUGAUGAAAUUAUUAAAAGAGAUCAGCGAAGACCAUUUUCGUCAAACGGCAUGGUCGUCGGCAAGGAAGUGGAUCAACCAGAAGCACAAGUUCAGAGAUAUAUUUUAAACGGUCAUCGAGUCGUACACAUUUCAACGACAUCGAUCUCAAGCUCGAAUAUUUCUCAAAUGGAUGACGAACCUUUAAUGGCCAGAAAGAGUGCUCACGAGGAAUGGUUGCGCAAAAAACAGAUUUAUCUUCAACGAAAGAAAGAAAAAGAAGAUAUGAUGAAAACUAAAGAACGGGAGGAAGAAGAGAGAUUAGAACGGGAAAGGGAAGAAAAGGAGAGGAGGGAAAGGGAGAAUUUUGUCAAGUGGACUGAAAGGAAAAAGAAAGAAGAAGCGGAUAAAAAAGCAGCCCUUGAAAAUGAAAUGAAAAUGGAAAAACAAUUGAAGGAAUUAGAGGAGAAGACGGUCAUCGCUAAGGCUUUGUGUCUGCGACAGUGGGCUCGUAAAAAAGAAGAAGAACAGAAGGCGCAAGAAAAAGCAUUGCAGUUGAAAGAACAACAAGAGGAGGAAGAACGGAAAAGGAGACAAGAGGAGAGUGUUAAAGCUUACGAAGAGUGGCGGGAAAAGUCGAGAAACCGACCUAAACCCGCAACGCAAGGAUUAUUUCCACAUCAAGCAGCAAAGCCAGGAUUUAUAAACCCAACUCCAUGGCAAAAGCUAAUCGAAGACGAUUCAAACGACGACCAAGAGGACAGUAAGAAGACCAAAAUAAAAAGAAGACAAAAUAAAAGAAAAAAUAAAUAAUUAAAAGAGAAUAUUAAGGACCCACUGAUUUCAACUUCGGUUAUCAUUUGUAAGAUUUACAGUUUUAGAUGCAAUCGUACUCUGUUUUGUUUUUAUAAGUAUUGUAUUUAAAACGUUGUAUGUCAGAGAAAGAGUCUUGAGGAAAAUGGCUAUAUUUGACGUUAACACAUAUAAUAUCAGCUUAAUAUUUUUAUUAAUAUUAUUUAAUAUGUUACAUCGGAUUUUGAUCGAUUGACGAUUAUUCAUCUACUGUCUCCGAGUUAUAUUUGUUUUAUUUAAUUAAUUAUAAAUUAUAAUUUUCAUUACAAAAUAUACGACAAAAGAGAUAUAUUUUGAAUGAAACCAAAUAGGAUGAAAAUAUAAUCGAAGGAAUACAUUGGUAGACUAGAGCGGCGCGAGAUCAUGAUAGUAUUAUUGGAUAUAAAUACUACAUGUUCCUAAUAAACUUGACACGAUAGAGAAUACAUUUGUUAAGAGUAUCAUCUGUGAAUAAAAAUACAGUGCUUAUAUUAGUA
rnacentral:misc_RNA from 1 species